AUUAUACAUUCAUUGAUAUAAUGAAUUAUGGCAGCAUUAAUACAUUAAAUUGCUGUAAUACUGUUUAUGCCGUAGUGGUCUUAAAUUCACUCGCCGCGUUAUAUGGAACAUUGUGGUCCCACAACACUUACUGAGUUCCACUGCGAUGCAGUAAAAAUUACUUAAACAUUGAAUGCCACUAGAAACAACAUAAUUUCCUUGGCAGAUUAUAGAUAAUACAAUACUUGUUAUUUUUUUUAAAUAUAAAAUAAUAAAAAAGAAGAAAGAACAAAACAUGCAACAUUGAAACAUAAGAGAGCAUAUAAGACACUGAGGUAACAUUUUUCCAGUUCUUAUAAAUGUAGGUUUACAUUAAGCAUUAGGGCAGGAUUUUAAAACUUGCAUGACAAGCAUUUUCAUUCAGAACAACUUUAAAAGAUAUAAAUAAAAUUGUCCAUUAUCACGUUUCAAGGUUUAUAAUAAAUACUGGAAAGUGCAGAACAUUUUGUACAGUUUUGUUAAUAAUAUGAACACUUAUUGCAAACACUUUUGUUAUAACACAAACCCCCAAGGUUUAUUCACUGAACAGUGAAUUCCAGAGAAUUGCACUAUUUAGGGAUUAAAAACCUUUAAAUUGAUCUUUAGCAAAUAGACCUACACAUGUAUUGUUGAUGAUACCAGGAGAGGAUUAAGAUCAGAGUCAUACAUUUACACAGGGCUCAAUCCAAAACAGGUUUAUACUAAAUAAGAAGAUUUAUAUAAAUAACUUUUUUAUACUUAUUUAUACAUAUUCAAGGCUGUUUACCAAAUUCAAAAUUCAAAGUGAAUUCAAAAUGAAAUUCAAAUUUAAGUUCAAAAUAGCUGACCUUGAAAAAGCUCAAAGUCAGUUAUGCUUUCAAAUUGGAUACUGUGGUCUUAAAUGUAAAAUUUGCAUUGAAUUCCCACUGUAGUAAAUAAUCCUGUAUGGACCUAUGGGCAGUCCUGCUUGGACUGGGUACUUUUUUUGCAAAAGAUGUUUACUGCCAAAUAAGUACUAAUACAAAUAUAGGUAACUAUCUACGUGUUCAAAGCAAACAUUGCUUGUGAAAAGUGCCCUAUUUGCUUUCUCAUUCAGAUUGCAUGUGUAUAUAUAGUUAAAAUUUUGUAUCUAAUCAAUCGCAUGUAAAUUGGCACAUGAUCAUAUAACAAUAAUCCGACUUAAGAUAUGAGAAUUAUCAAUGCAAAAAAAGGUGUAAACGUGUUAAACAAAGGAGUAUCGCUAUAGAAACCUGUAGAGCAUUUCAGAACAUUUAGUACUUUGCUCCAAAAUAAAAAUUUUUGUCUUGCUACAUCUCCACCAAUGCCCCUGAUUUGACCAAGUCUUGUCAGCUUCUGUUGGUCAACUGUGUGACAUAGUGAGGGUCUUUUCCCUUAAGAGUUCCUCAGAAAUUGUAUAAUAUGAAUUGUUCAUUUGGUGAAGCAUAUAUUAAUAUCCUACUUUGUAAAGUUGGGAUGGUCUGUGAUGGUAUUUUCAGUUUAAAAAUAUAUUGACUAUUUUACUAGGUUUUUCACUGAAAAUAGUUUAAAAAAUGAGGAUCACAAACCUUCUGAUGCAUUGCACAUCGGGAUGCUGUCAGUGCUCCAAACCGUUAGAUAGGCUGUAGAACACUCUUCAACACUCUAUAAAAACAUAAUUUACAUAAACACACACAAAAUAAUAAAAUAUACAUGUGUGUGUGUCACUAUAACUUUGCAACAUAGUUUAUAUAAACAAAGGCAAAAACAUAUUAUAUAUAUUAAAUAGUUCCACUCUAAGCCCAAUUUUAAUCCUCCCUGCCUGCUAAUAUACUCUAUCUUGUUAAAAAUUGUGUAGUUAUUGUGUAUUUUAAGUUAACAAUUUAUUAUAGCUGCCUACGAAAAAAGUGUACGAAUAAACUUUUUAAAUUCUAUUUUAGAUACAAAUAUUAAAUACAGAUUGACACAAAAAUAGGGAUAAUAUAUUACUUGUAAAACAAUAUUUAAGAGGCAGUUAGUUCAAAUAUACAAAUAAAACAACACUUUCACACGCUUCUUUGAUUCCACAGUGAUUAGAAAAAUAUACAGAAUGUAUUCUCUGCUGCAGUCUCCAACCUGCAAAUCAUUCUGAUUUUGUUUUUAACCCCUUAAGGACCAAACUUCUGGAAUAAAAUGGAAUCAUGACAUGUCACACAUGUCAUGUGUCCUUAAGGGGUUAAAGAUGGUUACUGUGUUUUGGUUGCGUUUGUUUGUUUGAAAACAAUGAUCUGUUUUUAAUGGAUUAAAUAGUGUUUUGUCUAUUAGCCACUAAUUAAACUCCUCUUCAAAAGAUGGUUUUUUUUAAUGCAAACAACAAUGUGAUAUUAUUCUUAUCAUUAAAAUAGCUGCAAUGGUCUACAUAUACAAACUCUUCCUAUUUUCACAUAAGGGUAACAUACCAUAAUUAUGCAUUAAUUGUUAUAGAUUGAAUUGUGACAUAGUUAGAUAUCUUGACAAGAACAUUGAAAGACAGACAGACUAAUUGGAUGAAGUGAAAGAUAGUUUCAUAACUUGAUAUGGUUGGAUAGAAGGAUGAAAUAGUUGUUUGUCCAUUCUUAAGUUUUCCAUUUUGACUUAUUUGCAGUUAUUUGGGAUCUUCCUAAAUUCAUAGGCUAAUCCAGAUGACCGUGCCUACAGAAGGUUUCAGUUAUAACUCUCUGAUGAGAUGCAUUUAGGUAAAACUAAUUAUCUGAGGUUUCUCACGGGAGCUUGCCUUGAUUUCCGGUCUAGACUGGCCUUUUCAGAGAAAAGGUAGUGAUUACAUUACAGCCUAGGAACACCUCCAGUGGCCACUCCUCAGAUGGCCACUGGAGGUGCUUCCUGGGGCAGUGCUGCACAGUUUGCAGCACUGUCUUGAGCGUCACCACUCUCUGCAUAGAGACACUGAACUUUCCCCAUAGUGAUGCAUUGAUUCAAUGCAUCUUUAUGAGGAAAUGCUGAUUGCCCAGGCUGCCAUUUGGCCCCACCUCCUUAUCAAUUUCAGCCAAUCCUAUGGGAAAGCUUUGGAUUGGUGGAGAUGAUCAAUUCUGAUGAUGUCAGUCAAGAAGGUGGAUCGUGGGUGGGGGCCAGCACCAGCAGACCAACGCGGCGCUCAAAUUAAGGUAAGUUUUAUAACCUUUCAAGGGGGGAUAGCCAGCUAUAUGGUGGUUUUAACACUAGAGGGUUAGAAAUACAAGUUUGUGUUCCUGAUGCUAUAGUGUUCCUUUAACUAAAACUAGAUUGAGACCCAUCGAAGGGCGAGCUAUUUGAGUUGUCUGUUCUCUGUUUUCUCUGCCCAUCAUUUUUGAUUUGUUAGCAAAUAGGUGAACACAUCAUGGUAUAGUACUAAAAAAAAUAACAAUUUAGAAAAUAUACACCUAUAGAACAUAUGCAUGUAAUUUGUUUUGCUUGUUUUCUUUGGGGGUAUAUGAAAUUUUGGCUUGAAAUAGUUGCGGCUAUAGUAUCUGCAGCUACUAACAAUCUCUCCUUUUCUUGCCCAGACCAGACUUUCUGUAGCUGCCCAAUCACAGACUUCUCAAUGAUCAGUGUUAAGACUUCUAGAAGUCUUUGCAAGGCAGGUGUUCUGGAUUCCACUGAGCUAAACUACCAGGAAUCAACAGGACAGACAAUCUGAUUGAAAGCCGUAGAAGUAUAAUAAGGUUCAUUUAUAUAAGUGUGGAUUUCUUUCGAAAUCUGCACUUUUAUAAAAUGGAAAAAGCGAAGACACACUUCAAACAAGCUGACGGGCAUUAUGUUUUUCGAGUGUUAAAUUGGCAUAACAGCUACAUAAUAUGCCACAACUGUCCAGCUCUUCCAAUAGGUGUGUUUACAAUCUAGGCUUCAUUAUAUAUGAUCUUUCUCUUCACAUGUUUCUGGGCUCUUCAAAUUUUGGUUCAUAAGUAUCAUGCACUAUUUGAGCUCCAUUGUUUUAGUUGUGUUACAUGUAUGGAAAAAAAAGAUGUCCUUUCUAAAAAUAUUUUCCUAAAAUUUUUAGUCACAUAUUACCACCUUGGUCAAGUUACUAUGACAGAAAGACAAACAUAAAUGGCUAGAUAAACAUCAGACAGAUAGACUACCCAAUGUGAUAAGUAACACAAUGUCACAAUUUAAUUACUUAUCUCAGUCGCCCUGGCAGUCCUUUAAUACCAUUAAUAACACAAUGACCAUUAUUUGCUGUUCAAGGCAAUUCAUUUUUAAAGCAUGAAUGAGACAGGCAAUUUCAGGGCAGGAGUCAAGAAUAUAAGCCAAAUUUUAGUAUUUCACACAAAGCAUAUUCCAUCUAAAUGAAAUAAAAUGAUAUACUGUUCUCUUUAAUAUGCGUGUUCUGAGUACUGAAAUAGAAGCUUUGCACAUGUAAUAUAAAUAAGAAGUAAAUAUGUUUGCAAUGGAUCCCAUUUUGCUGUACUGAUUAAAAUAUCACUACUAGGAAUGCAUAAGAAAAUGCUUUGUUUGACCUAAUUGCUAGCAAUUAAAAUAGCUUUGCAAUUCAUUUUCUUUUAGCAUAAUCAAAUUCUUUAACAUUAUGUUUGGCUAUGUGUUAGUUUUAGUUUCCUUAAUUUGUGUUUGAAAUUUAUUGCUGAGGAUAAAAAAUUAAUAAUUUAUCUUAUAGCCUUUCUUUGUUUUGUCUUGGUGAGGCCCACUCAGAAUGUUAAUUAGCUUCAAAUAGCAAAUAGCCAAGGUAAAUAUUCUUUACAUUUGCACACGUUUUGCAUCAAGUAGCAAAUUGAUCACAUUUUUAAAUAAAGAAUUUAAAUGAACACAUUUAUAUUAGGAAUACAAUGCCGUGUUCCUAACACUAACAUGUUCCUCUGCUCUCCCCCCCUCUCCCCCUCCCCACUCACCCGUUCACUGCGGCACUCAAAAGGUUAAGUAACGCUUGAAUUCAUUGACCUUAUUCAGGUGCCAAGGUUCCUCGGAGCUGGCUACCUCUUCAUCUCCUCCAACAUUCAAAGCUGAGGGGGGAUCUAAUACGUGCAUUAGGUCUACCCAUAGUAAAGCACAGUGUUUCCUGUGGUGAUUUGAAGACGCUGGAUGUCCUCAUGCACAACGUGAGGAUGUCCAACAUCGUUUCGCAGCACAGAGUUAAACUCCAUGAAACUGCAGGAAGUGCCUCUAGUGGCUAUCUGGUAGACAGCCAUCUUAAUCUUGCAUUAUAAACAUUGCAGUUUCUCUAAAAAUGCAACAUGUUUUAUUGCAGGAUUAAGUGGCAUGGCCAUCUUAACAGCAUUAUAGGCACCUAGGCAAAGCAGUGCACUGGAGCACUACCUAAACAACCACUUACAGAAAUAAAAAUGUAAAUUAUUGAUAAACUUAACCCCUUAAAGACUGAGCCAAUUGUACAACUUGUGAUCAAAACAAAAUCUAAACAAAACCUGGAAUUUGCGCUAUAUGUCUGUUUAACCGUAAUUCUCCUCUUUCAUAUUAUGUUCACCCACACUUAUUAUAUAUCAUUUUCUUCAGGAAACCCGGGCUUUCAUUUAACAUCAAAUAUUUAGCUAUGAAACACAAUUUAAUAUGAAUAAAAUAUAAACAAAAUAUGAGAAAUUAAGAAAUGUUAUUUUUUUUUUAGUUGUACAUGGAAUUUUAACUGUAAAUGUCAUAAUACUGUUAGCUCUUUCUGCAAUAAAGUACACAUAUUUGUAUUCAGCGAUGUCUAAUAAGUAAAACAGUAACCCACAUGUACAGAGUUUAUGGUGUUUUGGAGAGUUACAGGUCACAUUUUAGCACCUCACAUUGAAAUUUGCCAGACUGGUUACGUUGCCUUUGAGAAU